rnacentral:sRNA from 1 species
AUUCUGCCCAUGCGGGGAAGGAGGAGAAGCUUCGACCAAGGUUCGACUCGAGCGCCAGCGAGAGAGCGUUGCCGCAGGCAACGACCCGAAGGGCGAAGCGCGCAGCGCUGAGUAAUCCUUCCCCCACCACCA